rnacentral:rRNA from 1 species
CGGAGGAAAAGAAACCAACAGGGAUUGCCCUAGUAACGGCGAGUGAAGCGGCAACAGCUCAAAUUUGAAAUCGGCCCUCCGGUCGAGUUGUAAUUUGUAGAGGAUGCUUCUGGGCAGCGGCCGGUCUAAGUUCCUUGGAACAGGACGUCAUAGAGGGUGAGAAUCCCGUAUGUGACCGGCCCGCACCCUCCACGUAGCUCCUUCGACGAGUCGAGUUGUUUGGGAAUGCAGCUCUAAAUGGGAGGUAAAUUUCUUCUAAAGCUAAAUACCGGCCAGAGACCGAUAGCGCACAAGUAGAGUGAUCGAAAGAUGAAAAGCACUUUGGAAAGAGAGUUAAACAGCACGUGAAAUUGUUGAAAGGGAAGCGCUUGCAACCAGACUCGUCGGCGGUGUUCCGCCGGUCUUCUGACCGGUCUACUCUCCGCCGGCGGGCCAACAUCGUCUGGGGCCGCCGGAUAAGACGUCGGGAAUGUAGCCUCCUCGGAGUGUUAUAGCCCCUUCGUGAUGCGGCGCGCCCCGGGCGAGGUCCGCGCUUCGGCAAGGAUGUUGGCGUAAUGGUUGUCAGCGGCCCGUCUUGAAACACGG